GUGGGGAAUCUUGCGCAAUGGGCGAAAGCCUGACGCAGCCAUGCCGCGUGAAUGAUGAAGGUCUUAGGAUUGUAAAAUUCUUUCACCGGGGACGAUAAUGACGGUACCCGGAGAAGAAGCUCCGGCUAACUUCGUGCCAGCAGCCGCGGUAAUACGAAGGGGGCUAGCGUUGCUCGGAUUUACUGGGCGUAAAGGGCGCGUAGGCGGACAUUUAAGUCAGGGGUGAAAUCCCGGGGCUCAACCUCGGAACUGCCUUUGAUACUGGGUGUCUUGAGUAUGAGAGAGGUGUGUGGAACUCCGAGUGUAGAGGUGAAAUUCGUAGAUAUUCGGAAGAACACCAGUGGCGAAGGCGACACACUGGCUCAUUACUGACGCUGAGGCGCGAAAGCGUGGGGAGCAAACAGGAUUAGAUACCCUAGUAGUCC
rnacentral:rRNA from 1 species